UCUGUAUAAACUUUAGUUUAUACAAGCAAAAGACAGGGAACUCUGUGAUGAAGAAAUCUCUAAGGACUCUGAGAAGAAUGGUCCUGUACUCGAGUUUGAGUUUUAAACUAGGAAAAUGACUAAUAAUUGAAAAUAAUGGGAACUCUGUGGAAUUUUCUUUGUAUGUCAUCAUGAAAUUGCUGUGUAACAAACAACCAAGAUCCAAAAUAGCAAGACUGGGAGGUACGACUGCAGAAAAAAAUUCAUCCCAUGAUAAGAACCAAUGGGUUGAAACUGUCCAAUAAACGUUGCUUAAUGAAGCCCAGGAGCGAUUAUAAACAUCCAAUGAAUGAGUUUGUGUGCUGCAGGAAGAGACCAACAAGAAACAGAAGAUCAGUCAGUGCAUGGGUAGAUGACAUCUGUGCAUCCCAUUGUGUGAAAAAUAAUCUGCUGAUUUUGCCCUUUGUUCUAAAAUAAAUUCAUUACAUAGGCC
rnacentral:lncRNA from 1 species